rnacentral:lncRNA from 1 species
AGGAGCCUACAAGAAACAUAUGAAAAGCUUGAUUUGCAUAUCUAUAAAUAAAAAUAUAUAGAUCAUUAAAUUAAUAUAAAAAUAUAUAUUUAAUAAUAUAUGUUUAUCUGAGAUGGGCCAUACAUCUCUAAUAAAGAUGUAAGCUGAUCAAUCUGUCCCCUCAUGGCCUGCAUCUCGGCACGGCUCUGUCGCAUCUCCUCUAUCUCAGCGGCACGACUCUGUCUAAUCUCCUGUAUCUCCGCCUCGAGUCU